AAUCCUGUUUAGAAGUUGGAGCUCAACUAAACUAGUUUGUUGCCUCUUCAACCACACUUUGUGGCUUAGGAUGCUCAGACUAGCAUGGCGUCGCUCAGCGUCCAUAAAUAGCAGCUUGGUGCCUACUCCUCAUGUCACGGCAGCCUUCCGGGACACGACCCCUCUUCACAAAAGGAAUUUAAGACAUAAUAUCAGAGUGUUCCAACUGUUUCCCCUCCCACCAAGCUUGGGGUGUACGCAGCAGUUGACUCAUUCUCUCAGAUCCUCUCCCUUUAUGAGCAUGGCAUCAGGAGGCGAAGGGCUGCCGCCCACACCUCCUCGACACACAAACAGGUUAUCCAAAGAGAGGUCACCCUACCUUCUACAACAUGCGCACAACCCAGUCGACUGGUAUCCAUGGGGUCAGGAAGCCUUCAACAAGGCACAAAGUGAAGACAAACCAAUAUUUUUAUCAGUAGGCUACUCAACAUGCCACUGGUGCCAUGUUAUGGAGCGGGAAUCUUUCGAGGACGAGAACAUUGGCAAAAUCCUCAAUGACAACUUUGUCUGUAUUAAAGUAGACCGAGAAGAGAGACCAGAUGUUGACAUGGUGUACAUGACCUUUGUACAGGCAACAAGUGGAGGUGGAGGGUGGCCCAUGAGUGUUUGGUUAACUCCUAAUCUGCGUCCUUUCAUCGGAGGCACCUACUUCCCACCCAGAGACCGUGGAAGCAGACCUGGCUUUAAGACAGUCCUCACCAGAAUCAUGGGACAGUGGCAGAAUAAUCGUUCUAACCUGGAGUCCAGUGGGGACAGGAUCCUUGAAGCUCUGAAAAAAGGCACAACUGUGGCUGCAAACGCAGGUGAGAGUCCUCCCUUGGCCCCUGAUGUGGCUUACCGCUGCUUCCAACAGCUGGCUGGCUCUUAUGAAGAAGAGUAUGGAGGCUUCAGAGAUGCUCCCAAGUUCCCAACGCCAGUGAACCUGAUGUUCCUCAUGUCUUACUGGUCUGUGAAUCGCUCCACCUCUGAGGGUGUCGAGGCGCUCCAGAUGGCAAUGCAUACACUCCGCAUGAUGGCGCUGGGUGGCAUCCAUGACCACGUUGCACAGGGUUUUCAUCGUUACUCCACUGAUUCUUCUUGGCACGUUCCCCACUUUGAAAAGAUGUUGUAUGACCAGGCCCAGCUAGCUGUUGCGUACAUAACUGCUUUCCAGGUAUCAGGUGAGCAGUUUUUUGCAGAUGUGGCCAAAGACAUACUGCUUUAUGUCUCCAGAGACCUCAGUGACCAGUCUGGAGGCUUCUACAGUGCAGAGGAUGCAGACUCUGUCCCAUCAUCAGGGGGCUCGGAAAAGCGUGAGGGGGCUUUUUGCGUCUGGACGGCCUCAGAGAUCCGGCAAUUGCUGUCAGAUGUUGUGGAGGGUGCCACUGGUUCUGCAACAGUGGGCGAUAUUGUCAUGCACCAUUAUGGGGUUAAGGAGCUUGGCAAUGUUGCCCUGGAUCAGGACCCUCACGGGGAGCUACAGGGUCAGAAUGUGCUGAUUGUGCGGUAUUCUACAGAAUUAACAGCUGCACGCUUUGGCAUUAGCCAGGAGAUGGUCAAUGAGCUUUUGGCUUCGGCCAGAGACAAAAUGGCAGAAGUGAGGAAGAUUCGCCCGCGCCCACAUCUGGACACCAAGAUGCUGGCCUCCUGGAAUGGUCUCAUGCUGUCAGCCUAUGCUCGUGUUGGAGCCGUGCUUGGGGAUAAGGCCCUGUUGGAGAGGGCGAUACUGGCCGGCCACUUCCUUAAAGAGCACCUGUGGGACGCAGGGAUGCAGACUAUUUUGCGAUCAUGUUACCGUGGAGACCAGAUGGAGGUGCAGCAGAUCUCACAGCCUAUUUCUGGCUUCCUGGAUGAUUAUGCCUUCGUUAUUUGCGGCUUGCUGGAUCUCUACGAAGCCACACUGCAGACAGAGUGGCUGCAGUGGGCAGAAGAGCUGCAGCUCAGGCAGGACGCGCUGUUCUGGGACGCGAUUGGUGGAGGCUACUUCUGCAGUGAUCCCAGUGAUAGCGCAGUUCUCCUGCAACUUAAAACAGAUCAGGAUGGUGCAGAGCCUAGUGCCAAUUCUGUCACAGCGUCCAGUCUCCUACGUUUAUCCCAGUACACUGGAAGACAGGAGUGGCUCCAGAGGUCCCAACAACUGCUGGCAGCCUUCUCUGAUCGUCUGACCAAUGUCCCUAUCGCUCUGCCUGAGAUGGUCCGCGCUCUAAUGGCAGAACACUACACGCUCAAGCAGAUUGUGAUAUGUGGCCAUAAAGAUUCCUUGGACACCAAAAGUCUUUUAGAAGCAGUCAACUCUCUCUUCUUACCACACAAGGUCUUGAUGCUUGUUGACGGCACUGCAGACAGUUUCCUCACCCAGCGUCUGCCUGCACUCUCCUCCAUGACCCAGCAGGGUGGCGUGGCCACCGCCUACGUUUGCCAGGACUUUGCCUGCUCACUUCCUGUCACAGACCCCCAGGAACUACGCAGGCUCCUACUGGAUGGACAAGUGGGGAUGCAGGCACACUAGUCAGUUAAUAUGUUUCUUGAAUUGACUAAAGAAGAUUUAAAGACAAACUGAGCAGCUCUGCAGGAGACAGAUGGGCUGCUGAUGUUGAGGUGAGGGAGUUUGGCUCGCAGGUUCCUGCUCUGGGCUCUGGAAGCGAAGGAGACAAACAAGAUGUUUCAUUCUGUCACAGUCGGCACACCGUAUCGCUCUCAUCGCCUAAGGAAAGUUGCCACCUUAUCCACUCCGCUUCUCCGCCUUAUGCACUGCCAGUUCUCUCCGUCUCCUUUUUCAUUCACACUUCUUUCUGUCAGUCUUGGAGAAGUUAAUCCAUCCUUCCUCUUUUUUUUUUUUUUUUUAGCAGCAACCGAGGUGUUUUAAGUUUGGUAUAAGGUAGAAACAUGGAUCCCCUUGUUCUAUUUUUGCUGUUUUGUCCCUUUCAACUCUCACUUUUCCAACCUGUCACAACAGGAACACUUUUUUUGUCACUUUGUGUUCCCUCAACUCUUGUCUCUCGCUCUACCUAUGGCUCAUCCUAUUGCAUUUGACAUGAUGUCAGAUGCAUAACAAUAUAGCAAACCACAGACAUGGGAUUUUUUUACAUAGGACAUUUAGGGCCUGAUUUACUAAGAUCUAAAUACCAUGCGCUAAACAGCUUGUGCAAUGUACACAAUUGCAUGUAUUAUUAGUGGGCGUGUUGCAUGUGAUUUAAGAUUGCGUGUGCAAUUGAAAAGUGUUGCAGACCGCCUUAUUUAAAUGAGGCGUUUGCGUGUACUAUACGGGGCAUCACCACGGAGAAACUCAUUUACUGCACAUUCAUGUUAUCAUGCUGUUGUGUUUUGCUAUGUUUUCAAACAUGCAGGAGACAUCUGCCACUUUUUAUGGGCAUUUUAGAAGCAGUGCAUUCUCUGCACAACUGUGCUUAAGACGCAAAAAAAUGCUUACUUCAAGAAGUUUUUAUCAUAUAGGAUAUAUGUUAAUAUAUGUGAAAAACGAACGUCAUAAAUUUUUUUUUACCCAAAACACAUCAAUUGAAUUUUUUAUUAAAUCAGCCCCUUAGUCAGCCAGCAACUAUUAAAUUAAUAAUGGAUGUUGCUGAAUAGACAUUAUGUCUAAUAUUUUUUAUUUCGAACCGUCCAAAUAUGUUGAAACGUACACAUAUGACAGAAGAUUCUCUAUCCAUUGUCUGUCUGUGCAAAAAUAGUGCUACCAAACCGGUGAUGAGUGUUGAUAAAUCACAUUGCGUGUGUGAUGAAUAAUUAUAUUUGCAUUUUAUCCUCCCAGUUUUGUUGAUCAGCAUUUAUUUUGCAUAUUAAUAAAGACAGAGAUGCAAAAUGGAUCGCCCGCCUUAUUCUGCUCACUUAACAGACGCAAUCCACUUUGCACACGUUAAGUAGAUCAGCUUUGCGUGUGCUAUCAAGUUUGCACGUGUUUUAAUACACGCAAAGCUUUAGUAAAUUAGGCCCUCAGUGUUUAAAGGUGUGCACGCCUAUUGCCUUUAAACAAUAUUAUUGCCAGCAUUAUUUGGAGACAACUUGAAUGUAAUAAAAAUCAAAAAAUCUUUAAAAAUCAAAAGAAAAAAUAAAUACGUUUAAUGAUUUGCAGUUUUUAAGUACGGGUUUGUGCAGCAUUUAAACACUGUUUCAAAAUUACCGAUGGAGCACCAGUAUCGGUUAAAACAGUGGUUCUUAACCUUGUUGGAGGUACCGAACCCCAGCAGUUUCAGAUGCGCAUUCACCGAACCUUUCUUUAGUGAAAAAUAAAAUGUUUUUUCUUAAUUUAAUGAUGUUAUCAUAUUAAAGAAAUACUAAUAAAGAUAUAUUUUACAAACAGAAAGUUACAGGAAUGUACACAUGAUCCCAUAUUUACAUCUCAUUGCGCAACAUGUGAAUGUUUUAGUGGGACCUAAAUGCGAUAUCUGAAAGGGGUACAAAUUAUUUCCAAAGCAGGACCCCCCACCUAGUACACAGCUCAUGAAAAACAAUAUUUUGUGUUAUUGUCUUUGGUAAGUGGGCCAAAACACUUAUAUUAGAAAAUAAUCUCAUGGAAAUGACUGCUGUCAUUUGAUUAUAAUAAUAAAACAUUUAACUUGUUAUUUAGUCAGGUUUGGGACUGGUGUGCUGCUGGUGUGGCCACAGUGCAUGUGCGCGUCUGACGUCGCUCACAUGUGCUCCACUGAAUGCUCAAGGAGUUUUUGCGUUUGCUCAAGCAUGUGGAAAAUUAGAGGGAAUUAUUGUUUGGGGGUAUCCAUAAUACGCCGAUAGAGAAGUUUUUAUUUACACGAUGAGUCGGGUGUGUCUUGACCUCCGCGGUGGAGGCUCCGUCGAACCCCUGAGGCCGACUCACCGAACCCCUAGGGUUCGAUCGAAACCCAGGUUAAGAACCAGUGGGUUACAAUGUUAACAAUACCCAUUCUAAUGACAUGUUCAAUGACGCUGGAAGUGCUUUGAAUGUGAGCGUGUGCUUCACAUCAUUUCAUCUUCUUUCAAUCUUCCCGUGUUCUUCUUGUUGCAGUACUGUAGUCUCCUCUUGGAGUAAUUUGUGCAGCAGAGCCAAAUAAAAAGCAAAUGACCCAUAUAGAGUCAAUCCUUUGAUGUUUGCUGAACUGAUUUAUAUUAAACGAGGAAACUUUGAAAACUAUGGCAUAUUUUUUCCCUGAAAAUGUGGGUCAAUUUCCAAUUUCUACAACAUUUAGGAAAUUUUGUUCAGCUAUUCCUAAAUCUGCAAAAAUGUCAGGCUGUAACAUUAUUACAUUUUUAUAAGACAACAAACUGACAACUUGUUGCCUGGCUGUAAAUAAUAAUUAUGUAUAAAGUACAUUAAUAAUGAUGUAUAAAGUACAUUAAUAAUGAUGUAUAAAGUACAUUAAAGUGGCAACAAAAACAGGACAUCAGACUCUUGGAAAAAUAAAAUACAACUGUAACAAUGACACUGACAAUAUAAAGGAUAUACAAUUGAUACAUUUAGCUUGAUGCACCCAACUCUGUAGAUCCCAAUAAACAGUAUUUUGUUUAUUGGCUGUCAACAAUCAGAGCCGGCCCAAGGCAUAAGCGUACUAAGCGCUUGCUUAGGGCCCCGCGGCCACCAGGGGGCCCCAAAAGCAAUUAACAAAAAAAUAUUAUUUUUUAUUUUUUGCAUGUACGAGUCUGACUGAUGAUUUCUAAAUGAUCAAAGAUAUAUUAUUGUACAAAAACACAAUUUUAGGUCAACAUUUUUGCACAUUGCUGUUUCAGGUUUUUGUUACCAAAAAUAAUAAAGUGAAUCAGAAUCAGCUUUAUUGUCCAGUUAUGUUUAACACACAUGGAAUUUAACUUCAGUAGACUGCGCUCUCUUUGUACAAAGUAAACAUUAAAUAUGAACAAUUAACUAAAAAUAUAAACUAGUAAUUAAAGACUAAUAUGUACAAGACUGAUGAGACAAGAUGACACUUUUACUGUAAAUACAAAGCUUUAUCACUUGGACUGUUCAACCCCAGGCCACUCUUGUAGCUGAAUGUUUUCUACAUAUUAAGAUUAGGAACCAUAUGUGGCACUCUGGACAUCAUUCGUUCAUUCAUUGGUAUUAUUUAUGUUCUU